GAUGAACGCUGGCGGCGUGCUUAACACAUGCAAGUCGAACGAAGCAUUUAAGACAGAUUACUUCGGUUUGAAGUCUUUUAUGACUGAGUGGCGGACGGGUGAGUAACGCGUGGGUAACCUGCCUCAUACAGGGGGAUAGCAGCUGGAAACGGCUGGUAAUACCGCAUAAGCGCACAGUACCACAUGGUACAGUGUGAAAAACUCCGGUGGUAUGAGAUGGACCCGCGUCUGAUUAGCUUGUUGGCGGGGUAACGGCCCACCAAGGCGACGAUCAGUAGCCGACCUGAGAGGGUGACCGGCCACAUUGGGACUGAGACACGGCCCAGACUCCUACGGGAGGCAGCAGUGGGGAAUAUUGCACAAUGGAGGAAACUCUGAUGCAGCGACGCCGCGUGAGUGAAGAAGUAGUUCGCUAUGUAAAGCUCUACCAGCAGGGAAGAUAGUGACGGUACCUGACUAAGAAGCUCCGGCUAAAUACGUG
rnacentral:rRNA from 1 species